AAAAUGGCGCUUUUAAGCGCCAUUUUUAUUCCCUAAAAUGAAAAG
rfam:Acinetobacter equi strain 114, complete genome.